CCUACGGGCGGCAGCAGUGGGGAAUAUUGCACAAUGGGGGAAACCCUGAUGCAGCCACGCCGCGUGAGUGAAGAAGUAUUUCGGUAUGGAAAGCUCUAUCAGCAGGGAAGAAAAAAGACGGUACCUGACUCAGAAGCCCCGGCUAACUACGUGCCAGCAGCCGCGGUAAUACGUAGGGGGCAAGCGUUAUCCGGAUUUACUGGGUGUAAAGGGAGCGUAGACGGCAUAGCAAGUCUGAAGUGAAAGCCCGUGGCUCAACCGCGGAACUGCUUUGGAAACUGUUCAGCUGGAGUACUGGAGAGGCAAGCGGAAUUCGUAGUGUAGCGGUGAAAUGCGUAGAUAUUAGGAAGAACACCAGUGGCGAAGGCGGCUUGCUGGACAGACACUGACGUUGAGGCUCGAAAGCGUGGGGAGCAAACAGGAUUAGAUACCCGAGUAGUC
rnacentral:rRNA from 1 species